GCUAGGUUAUCCACCCCCUAAAAAAACAUAGCUAGGUUAGGGCAGGAUUAUGACAGACUUUAAUAUGCUUCACCAUCCAUCCAGGAGGGCCUGGGUGUCAGAGUACCAGGACCGGUACCAGGGCCCGGAUCACUACGUCCCUGGGCAGAGGAAGCCCCCUAGUGGCCUGAAGGAGCCCUGCACCGCCAAGUACCAGCCUGGUGCCCACACAGCAGACCAGACCCGAGGACACAUCUGCUCAGAGUAUCAGAGGCACUUCACUAAGAAGAACUACCCUGGCCUGUCCAGACCCAAGACCAGCCCUGCGUACAGACAGAACAGAGUCAACUGACCUAAACCAUCUUCAGGAUUUGACCUGCAUGGUCUCUAUUCCAUGUUCAACCUGACAAAGGUUAAUAAAAAAAUAACAUUUGAAAUAUAUUUUGACAAUUCAGAGAUACUCGUUUGUGUCGACAUUAUCAAACCCACAGCGUGAUCUUUUGAGGGGUCCUUUAGCUACAGUAAUGACAGGUUACUGGACAUGUAAUAACACAAUCAAACCUGUAUAUAAAACAAUGAACAAGACACCAAAGUCCCAGAGGGUACCUGAUCUUUAUUCCAUCAUACUUUGUCCUCGUUUGCUAAUGCAAGUCGCACACUGUGACAGGAUUUCAACUCAAGUUUUUACAUAUCAACCAAACGGAAAAACGAAAUUGUUGCCAUGGAAAUCCCUCGCAGGUCAGCUACGCCCCCGCAGCCAAAUCCCAUCCAAUCCUUCUGUACACUGCAGUCUGUCCAUCUUUCGCCAAGCCUACUUUGCCCUACACACUACCUACCCUAAAACCAGCCUCCAAGGAAAAGAAAAACAUCCAGAAAAGAGAAGACAAAAAAAGGAAACUGCAACAAUGAUCAGGGGAGAGAAAUCUCCAGCCACGAUCACCACGACGACAGACUCACACGGCUGCACUUGAGAUUGAG